GUCGUCGCCCGCCCUAGCCGUGCCUGCGUUGGCCAGUCCUCCUUUAGCUGCCGCGUGCGACGUGUCCUUGCGACCUCGACACGCCCCCCGCGCCACCCGGCACUACACGCGCCUCUGCCCCGCCCCGCCCCUGCGCAGUAAAUAGUGUGAAAUAGAGAAUUACAUGUUUUUCCGAUAUCCAGGAUCUCUGCUGGUUACCUCCGUGUGGGAAAUAAAGAGCAAGGACAGAAAGGAGGUUUGAAGAAGGAACCCCAAGUGUGAAUUGCAAGAUCGGAGAAGAAAAAGUAGAAGGAGAAGGAGGAGGAAGGGGAAGGUAAAAUGUGAUGGAGGAAGUCAGUAUUGGAAUGAGGCGUCGAGUUGUUACUGCCUCAAGCUAGAAGGUGGAAGUGGCUGCAUUAUUCAAGCGUGGGUGUGAGUGAGCCCUCGCCUCCCAGCCUCCCCUCGUCCACCACUCCUGGCGCCCUCUCCCCUGCCCCUGUGCCCGUAGGUGUCAAGGAAACCUCUCCUCGUUAAGUGUAAAGUGCUGCAGGAAGGAGGAAAAAAAACCGGAGAGAAGUCUUGGCCCCAGUGCCUAGUGCCAUGGUGGUGAUGUGCGCAAGUGUGUGGUGGUGGUGGUGGUGAGGGGUGUUCUGCUCAUGGUGGAUCAGGUGGGGCUGGUGGAGGUGGAGGAACGACCCCCUCGAGACCUGGCCUACUCCAGGUACGGCCAGGCCUCUUCCAGGAUGGGCUCCAUGAGGCGACAGACAUCCCUGGGCCUGCCGCUCCCUCCUUAUCCCGUCGGCAGGUGCCCCAAGCUUCCCCCGUCGCCCAACUUCCUCUCCGUGUCUGACAUAGAGAAUGGGUGAGUCAG